CAACCCGCCCGUCACACCAUGGGAGUUGAUUGCACCAGAAGCAGGUAGCCUGACCGCAAGGGGGGCGCCUACCACGGUGUGGUCAAUGACUGGGGUG
rnacentral:rRNA from 1 species